CAGCAGCCACGGUAAUACGAGGGGGGCGAGCGUUGUUCGGAAUUAUUGGGCGUAAAGGGUGCGUAGGCGGUUUGGUAAGUCUGAUGUGAAAUCUAUGGGCUCAACUCAUAGUCUGCAUCGGAAACUGCCGGGCUUGAGUAUGGGAGAGGUGAGUGGAAUUCCUGGUGUAGCGGUGAAAUGCGUAGAUAUCAGGAGGAACACCUGUGGCGAAAGCGGCUCACUGGACCAUAACUGACGCUGAUGCACGAAAGCUAGGGGAGCAAACAGGAUUAGAUACCCCAGUAGUCCCUGUCUCUUAUAC
rnacentral:rRNA from 1 species